rnacentral:rRNA from 1 species
AACGAACGCUGGCGGCAUGCCUAACACAUGCAAGUCGAACGAGACCUUCGGGUCUAGUGGCGCACGGUUGCGUAACGCGUGGGAACCUGCCCUUAGGUUCGGAAUAACUCCCCGAAAGGGGUGCUAAUACCGGAUAAUGUCUUCGGACCAAAGAUUUAUCGCCUUUGGAUGGGCCCGCGUUGGAUUAGCUAGUUGGUAGGGUAAAAGCCUACCAAGGCGACGAUCCAUAGCUGGUCUGAGAGGAUGAUCAGCCACACUGGGACUGAGACACGGCCCAGACUCCUACGGGAGGCAGCAGUGGGGAAUAUUGGACAAUGGGCGAAAGCCUGAUCCGGCAAUGCCGCGUGAGUGAUGAAGGCCUUAGGGUUGUAAAGCUCUUUUAACCGGGAUGAUAAUGACAGUACCGGGAGAAUAAGCUCCGGCUAACUCCGUG